UACGUAGGGGGCAAGCGUUGUCCGGAUUUAUUGGGCGUAAAGAGCGUGUAGGCGGCUGGGUAGGUCCGUUGUGAAAACUCGAGGCUCAACCUCGAGACGCCGAUGGAAACCCUCCAGCUAGAGUCCGGAAGAGGAGAGUGGAAUUCCUGGUGUAGCGGUGAAAUGCGCAGAUAUCGGGAGGAACACCAGUGGCGAAGGCGGCACUCUGGGCCGGUACUGACGCUGAGGAGCGAAAGCGUGGGGAGCGAACAGG
rnacentral:rRNA from 1 species